GCAGAAGCUGCAGUGGUGCUCAGUGCAGCCACAGCACCUGCAGCCACCUCUGUCUGCACUGACCCAAAAUGACCACGUGGACCAUGCAGUGACUGGAUGGCAACCUGCUCUUAGCCCACUGCUGCACUGACCACAUUUGAACCGGACGAGAGCUGCACAGCUGCAGUCUGGCACCCAAACACUGAAUGUCCUAUAAAUGUGUGUUCAGCAACCAUCCUGCAGCUGGGCUCGAUGGGGAAACGGCACCACCUGCAAAACGAUUGCAGCCCUGUGCUAACUGCACCACACACACACACGGCUGUGUGUCAUGUCAUAUAACUGCACUGCGCGCACACACACUGGCUGUGUGCAUAACUGCAGAACACACACAUACAGGCUGUGUAUAUAUUUGAGAUUGUAGAACAUGCUUGUUUGUAUUUAAUGUUAGUGAUAGUGGUUUAGGUGAACAAAAGAUGCACUGUAUGUCUCAGAUUGUGUACAUUAGCUGUAGGCAGACAUGGUAAUUAUACCUUCUCCAGCUCAGUGUUUACUCUUUCCCACACUCCUGUAGUGUUUACUAGCUUUUGGGCUGCAUUAGUAUUGGUAGAGAGGGGGCCCACAGUGGUAAUUUCCAGUGGGGGCUGGAUGUGUCGCCAAGGUGGCUGGACUCGUGGGUGAGUUGAGCCGUGAAUAUGGCGGUAUGAUGAAGUCAUCCAUAAAAUUACAGCAGACUCUGCCCCGGCCGCCUCGCCCAAAGGGGGAGAGAAUUAAAGUGCAAUCAGAACGACGCGGAGCUGAGAACAGAUCAGGGCAAAGGUGGUGGAGUUCCCGAAUCUGGAGAAGAGGCACCUGUCAGACACCGCCAGGAGCAACGGCGUCGAAGAUGGACCCUGUGGUUCCGCCGUCGGGUCGGAACCACGCGCCCCGUCCCCUGAGCGUCCUGGACGAAGAACGGCUCGAUGUCCUCGGCCAGAGGAGGGAACAGGAGACCCCACCGCUGUGGGAGAGUGUGAAAUCAGUGUGUAGGUGUGUGUGUGUGUGGGGCGUUCGCAAUGGAGCCCCACUGGGUGUAAACAGUAAGCAAAAGUGUGGGAUGCAAGUUGGUUCUUCGAUUACAAGGUGACGGCUAUAAGCACUGCCACCUGCUCCACACUAGCCGUGGCACACCGACACUGGGACACUGAUACGGAGCUACCGUGUUUUAUACUCAGCUCUUGGUGUAAUGAAGGAUGGUUAAACCGCGGUAUUGGACCUAUUGACAGUAAAAAUGACCCGGCAGUGUAAAUGGGUAAAAUAUUGCAAGUUGCUUGGGAGAAAAGUGUCAGCCAAAUGAACAAGUAAUAAUGGUGAGUUUACCCCAGUAACAGUGUGUUUGAGUAUCAGUGUGGCUCACUACUCCAGUGUCAGAGUAUCAGUGUACCCUAGUAUCACUGUGUUAGUUGUCAGUAUAUCCUAGUAUCACUGUGAGUAUACCCUAGUACCAGUGUCCAGUUUACCCUAGUAUCAGUGUGUCUCGCUGUCAGUGUGUCCCGGU
rnacentral:lncRNA from 1 species